UGUGGAUUUGUCACAGGUGGUUCUUAUUUUUUAGAGAUUUUUUUCCAUCACUUUACUUUGAGCCUAUCAGUGUCAUUGAAUGGGAGAUCGUUCUCUUGAAGACAGCAUACAAUUGGGUCUUGCUUAUUUAUUCAAUUUUCUACUCUGUGCCUUUUAGGUGGGGUGGAAAGGCAUCUGGAAACAGAGGAAAACAUUCCAUUUAGAAGAAAAUCUCAAUGUUGUCCUUGGGUUUGUGAGUUUUCAGAUCUCUCUUGUUUGAAAAUGAGAAGACCAAAUCUGGAUUUUUCUAUGUUCUCCUGGCUCCAGAGAAAUAGCCAUUGUUUUCCCGGAAAUGAUGAGGCAAUAGAAAUCUAUAGGCCCAUUCCUAUAAGUGCCACCUCAGCCAUUGCUAAUCCACCUGGUAGGCCCUGGGUUCUUCAGGACAUUGAGAAAUAUGAAACUUUUCUAAAACAGAGGGAGCCUUCUUGGAUUACAUCUCAUCCAUCAGGGAGCAAGGCUCAUGCUCUAAGCUCCAGUACACUGCUAAGAAUUCUAGGUAAAUCUCUACUGAUAAACCCUUCAUAUCUCUCUGUCUACCUACUGACUCCUUCUCUGGGGUCCUGAAUAUAUCUAUUAUAAAACUUUCUUGAGAAACUUCACCUAUAUCUUAUCCUGUAUCCUAUUUACUUAAAAAAAGUAUUUACUUUUUACAAAUGUCAACAGCUUUAGGGUAAAAGUGGGUUUUGAUUAACAUGGAUGAAUUGUACGGUGGUUAAGUCUAUAUUUUUAGUGUACCCAUCACCCGAAUAACACACAUUGUACCUAAUAGGUAAUUUUUCCUCCUUCAUCCCUUUCCCAACCUCCUCGCUUCUGAGUCUCUAGUUUCAUUAUACCAUCCUGUAUGACCCUGCAUACUCAUGGCUUAGCUCUUUGCAAUUGUGACUUGUGCUGCAAUAAAUAUCUCAUGAGGAAAACACAUUUUCUAAUAAUACUUUAGCUACUAUUAUUACAUCAGCCUUCUUGCAUAGGAAAACUUUCACACAUCCAGAAAACAUGUAUUGCAAAUGACAAUUGAAUCAAAUCCUCCUAUAAGUGUUUAAGUGGUCCAUCAAAUAGCAGAUACAUACCAGAAAUUUUUAUUGUCUUUAUUCUCUUCCCAGGAUUAUGGGUUUGACAAACCAAACCUUGGUCAUAAACCAUUUUAACAAUUUAGAACAGUCACCACAUAUAUGUAUAUAUCUAAAUGUAUUUGAUUUUUUCCUCACAAAAGCCCUUUUGGAAUUAAUAAAAAGAUAAAACAUUAUUCUUAUAUGAAGCUCCACUUAAAACUCUCUAUGUAUCUUCUAGUGUCUUCAAAUAUCCCACCUCCUACCCAUAACAUACUAAGAAAGUUUAAGGCAAUAAAAAUCUUAAAAAUUACUCUUAUAACAUAUUCUCACCCUCCCUAGAGCCAGAGAUCUCCUAAAAAAACUUAAAUUCAAAACAAAAUUAAUUUUCUUUAACCUUAGUAGUCAAACCUCUUUUACUCUAAUGCUAUUAUUUUUUUGUGAGUUUCUUAAAAGGCUGUACAACAAAGGUUAAAUUGUGUAAUGUCAUUUUAAUCAUGACAGUAUUUAUAUUCUUUGGAGCAAUGAGAUUCAUCUUAAUGACCUACUGUACUGGUAUAAUUUUUUUUAUAGUAAAAAUGACCAAACAAGGAAGGCGAAAUACAUUGAAUAUAUUUCAAAAUGUCAAGUUCUUAGAUUGGAGCUCAUAUGGUUGUCUAGUUGGGGGAGAUAACUCCAUUCUCUUCUUUAAUAUUUUAUAAAUGAGAGAAGAGUUCAAAAUUAUUUAGAAAUUGAUUUGUAAAUCCAAGACAAAUAACCAAGUAUUCUGACAUCUCAUUAAAUGUCCCUGUAAUAUGUAUUCAGUGUAUUAUUUAUACCCUUUUUAAAACUAAAUCACUGCUACCUGAAAAUUAAGUCCGGAUAUCAAACAGCUAUAUAGUCUUUUUCAUAUAAAAACAAAAGUUUAUUCUAUUCAUAUAAACAUUAAAAUGUGGGCUUGUUUUUAAACAAACAAAAGUAAGAGUGCUAGUAUAGUUUUACCAAUA